UUCGCUUCUUGGCUUUUUGGCUAAGAUCAUGUGUAGUAUGUGCUCUUAUCAGUUUAAUAUCUGACAUGUUGAGGACUAUAUAUUAAAUUGAAUUUUGAUGCUAGGGAAGUUUUUUAAUGACUGUUUUAAUGUAUUUUUAAUAUCCUGUUGGAAGCUGCCCAGAGUGUCUGGGGAAACCCAGACAGAU